rnacentral:lncRNA from 1 species
CCUUGGGGAGGAGAGGCCCACGUGGAAAGGAGCCCACGGCCCUGGCUGUGCUCCCAGCUGAUUAGCACCAGUGUGCCAGGCCUGGGGGCCGCUGUCCUGGGCACCCCCAGUCACGUCGUCCCAUCUGACAGCACAUGGAGCAGAGCAGAAUGGAAUAACAGCAAACAACAUUGGAGGAGGACUUGUCUGGGAGAGCAGCCAUUUUAAAGAAGAGCACAUUAAGUCACAAACAGUCGCAGCUGAUCUACUUUGCAGCAUCGCCAUACAUGCCUAACUAAAUAUUGAAAUCCCGGGAAAAACUCACUGUGCAUCAUGUUCCAGAAACUAGCUUUGCAAACAGUCUUUUCAGAUGUGUACAUUUUGUGUAUUUGAGGCAUAUAAUAUAUAUAUUUUCCUCCAUGUUCACCCAA